rnacentral:tRNA from 1 species
GGUCUGGUAGUGUAGCGGUUAGCAUGCCACCCUGUCACGGUGGAGGUCGCGGGUUCAAAUCCCGUCCGGACCGCCA